rnacentral:rRNA from 1 species
AUUGAACGCUGGCGGCAGGCCUAACACGUGCAAGUCGAGCGGAUGAAGGGAGCUUGCUCCUGGAUUCAGCGGCGGACGGGUGAGUAAUGCCUAGGAAUCUGCCUGGUAGUGGGGGAUAACGUCCGGAAACGGGCGCUAAUACCGCAUACGUCCUGAGGGAGAAAGUGGGGGAUCUUCGGACCUCACGCUAUCAGAUGAGCCUAGGUCGGAUUAGCUAGUUGGUGGGGUAAAGGCCUACCAAGGCGACGAUCCGUAACUGGUCUGAGAGGAUGAUCAGUCACACUGGAACUGAGACACGGUCCAGACUCCUACGGGAGGCAGCAGUGGGGAAUAUUGGACAAUGGGCGAAAGCCUGAUCCAGCCAUGCCGCGUGUGUGAAGAAGGUCUUCGGAUUGUAAAGCACUUUAAGUUGGGAGGAAGGGCAGUAAGUUAAUACCUUGCUGUUUUGACGUUACCAACAGAAUAACCACCGGCUAACUUCGUG